rnacentral:rRNA from 1 species
GCUCAAAUUUGAAAUCUUAAAGGUUUUACCUUGACGAAUUGUAGUUUAAAGAAGUGUUUUCUGUUGGUGUUUUGGUAAAAGUUCUUUGGAAUAGGACAUCAUAGAGGGUGAGAAUCCCGUAUUUGACCAUUACUUCCAGCGUUGUGAUACACUUUCAAAGAGUCGGAUUGUUUGGGAAUGCAGUCCAAAAUGGGUGGUAAAUUUCAUCUAAAGCUAAAUAUUGGCGAGAGACCGAUAGCGAACAAGUACCGUGAGGGAAAGAUGAAAAGAACUUUGAAAAGAGAGUUAAACAGUUCGUGAAAUUGUCAAAAGGGAAGCGUUUGACACCAGUGUUGUCUUCUCGAAAAUCAAUUAAAAAAAGUUGGAUUUUGUAUUGUUAAGACCUUAUCAGCUUACUGUACUCUUUUCUUGCUUUUUUUAAUGCACUUUUCGUUUAACAAG